CCCGUCCAGCUGGGGAAGCUGGUGCAGACUGGCGUGUAGAACACAGGAAGCCGGAGGGAGGGCCAUUUCCCCUUUCGCCCUCGAAAGUCCCCUCCCUCCCCCCGGGUGUGCAGCAAGAUGUCAAACCGGGGGCCGUGGGGAGACCCUCCCUUGCGGCGGAGCUCCACGACUCUACUAUCUUAACUCUACUUGGGGGGCCUCCUUAUACCCCAACCCCCAGAUUCUAGUUGCCGAAGGGAGACAGGAUACAGGUGCUGACUCAGCCAUUGAGACAUGUUAUCCAAGGAGCGGAGCUGGGAGGCGCCUGUGAGGACCGUGAGGGCCCACACCUGGGUGUUGCUUAUCUUGGGGGAUUUUCACCUCCUCUGCAAGAAGGGCCGCUGACCACAGGGCUCUGUAAAGUUGCUACCUGCCUUGCCGUAUUUUUCAGAACCCAUCUCCAAAAUGUUGGUACACAACAGGAUACAAAAGCACACACAAAGGGGAAAGCAAGCAAGUCUGGAGCAGUGGUAUAGAGUGUUCAAAUGAUUUCUCCAAAAUCUGUGCCCAGGACAAUACUCCCA
ensembl:lncRNA